CCACUCUCUUAUGCUUCUUACACUUUCCUUUCCACCCUCAUUUACUCAUCAAAACACAGCAAAUUUGCUCAACAUAACACUCAAAACACAAGCACCACACCAACUUUCUCAUUUUACCAAAAUUGUCUCAAAUACCCUUUAACGGUCUCAAGCCUAAAAAAUACACUCCUACCCACACUCUUCUCACUCUUCAUAAGCAACCUCACUCUUCAUUCACCACAAACACACGCACCCUUCAUUGCUCAAGUCAGAAUCCUCACAUCACUCUUCAAAUAUUUUCUUCGAAUUUCUCUCAACCUCUUGGCUCAGAUCUCAAGCUUUGUGCAUUUCUACUAA